AUACGUAGGGAGCGAGCGUUGUCCGGAAUUACUGGGCGUAAAGGGCGCGUAGGCGGCGCUUCAAGUCGUCUGUCAAAUGUGAGGGCUUAACCCUUUUUCGCAGACGAAACUGGAGAGCUUGAGAAGCAGAGAGGCAAACAGAAUUCCUGGUGUAGCGGUGAAAUGCGUAGAUAUCAGGAAGAAUACCAGUGGCGAAGGCGGUUUGCUGGCUGCAUACUGACGCUGAAGCGCGAAAGCCAGGGGAGCAAACGGGAUUAGAUACCCCGGUAGUCCUGGCAGUAAACGAUGUAUGCUGGGUGUGAGACUAGCGAUAGUUUCGUGCCGAAGUUAACGCGAUAAGCAUACCGCCUGGGGAGUACGGUCGCAAGAUUGAAACUCAAAGGAAUUGACGGGG
rnacentral:rRNA from 1 species